AGCGAACGCUGGCGGCAGGCUUAACACAUGCAAGUCGAGCGGGCAUCCUUGUGGUGUCAGCGGCAGACGGGUGAGUAACGCGUGGGAACGUGCCCUUCGGUUCGGAAUAACUCAGGGAAACUUGAGCUAAUACCGGAUACGUGCGAGAGCAGAAAGGUUUAUCUGCCGAAGGAUCGGCCCGCGUCUGAUUAGCUAGUUGGUGAGGUUAUGGCUCACCAAGGCGACGAUCAGUAGCUGGUCUGAGGGGAUGAUCAGCCACACUGGGACUGAGACACGGCCCAGACUCCUACGGGAGGCAGCAGUGGGGAAUAUUGGACAAUGGGGGCAACCCUGAGCCAGCCAUGCCGCGUGAGUGAUGACGGCCUUAGGGUUGUAAAGCUCUUUUCUGCGGGACGAUAAUGACGGUACCGGAGGAAUAAGCCCCGGCUAACUUCGUG
rnacentral:rRNA from 1 species